rnacentral:ncRNA from 1 species
GAACAUAAAGGUUUGGUCCCAGCCUUUUUAUUGUUUUGUGGCAAAUUUACACAUGCAGACUCCUCAUACCGUGAGAAUGCCCUUAGUAUCAACCCAGAUCAAGAGGAGCAGGCAUUAGGCACACCAAGCAGUAGCUCAGGAUGCCUUGCUUAACCACGCCCCCAAGGGCAGCAGUGAUAAAAAAUUAGCAAUGAAUGUAAGUUUGACUUUAAGGGUUGGUAAAUUUCAUGCCAGCUGCCACGGUCAUACGAUUAACCCGAAUUAAUAAACACCCGGCAUAAAGCGUGAUUAGAAAUAAGCAAAAAUAAAAUCAAAUAGCAACUAAGCUGUAAAAAGUAAUAGUUGUAAAUGAAAAUAAUCAAUGAAAGUGAUUUUACAACCUUCGAACUCAUGAUAGCUAAGAUCCAAACUGGGAUUAGAUACCUCACUAUGCUUAGCCCUAAACCUCAAUAAUUCCAUAGCAAAAUUAUUCACCAGAGAACUACAAGCCAGAGUUUAAAACUCAAAGGACUUGGCGGUGCUUUAUACCCACCUAGAGGAGCUUGUUCUAUAAUCGACAAACCCCGAUAAACCUUACCACUCUUUGCCAACUCAGCCUAUACACCACCAUCUUCAGCGAACCCUAAAAAGGAACAAAAGUAAGCUUAAUUACUCCCAUAAAAAUGUUAGGUCAAGGUGUAGCCUAUAGAGUGGGAAGCAAUGGGCUACAUUUUCUACUAUAGAAUAUACAAAAGCCCCUAUGAAAUUUUAAAGGCCAAAGGAGGAUUUAGUAGUAAAUUAAGAAUAGAGAGCUUAAUUGAACCAGGCCAUGAAGCAUGCACACACUGCCCAUCACUCUCCUCAAAUACUAAACAUUUAUUAUCCAUAAUUACAAAAUAAAUAGGUAUAAGAGGAGAUAAGUCGUAACAAGGUAAGCAUACUGGAAAGUGGGCUUGGAUAUUUCAGAGU